rnacentral:rRNA from 1 species
UGAGUAACCUGCCCUUGACUCUGGGAUAAGCACUGGAAACGGUGUCUAAUACCGGAUAUGAGCUUCAGCCGCAUGGCUAGGAGCUGGAAAGAAUUUCGGUCAAGGAUGGACUCGCGGCCUAUCAGGUAGUUGGUGAGGUAAUGGCUCACCAAGCCUACGGACGGGUAGCCGGCCUGAGGAGGGUGACCCGGCCACACGUGGGACUGAGACACGGCCCAGACCUCCGUACGGGAGCA